AUUGAACGCUGGCGGAAUGCUUUACACAUGCAAGUCGAACGGCAGCACGGGGCAACCUGGUGGCGAGUGGCGAACGGGUGAGUAAUAUAUCGGAACGUGCCCAAUCGUGGGGGAUAACGUAGCGAAGUUACGCUAAUACCGCAUACGAUCUACGGAUGAAAGCGGGGGAUCGCAAGACCUCGCGCGAAUGGAGCGGCCGAUAUCAGAUUAGGUAGUUGGUGGGGUAAAGGCUCACCAAGCCAACGAUCUGUAGCUGGUCUGAGAGGACGACCAGCCACACUGGAACUGAGACACGGUCCAGACUCCUACGGGAGGCAGCAGUGGGGAAUUUUGGACAAUGGGCGCAAGCCUGAUCCAGCCAUUCCGCGUGCAGGAUGAAGGCCUUCGGUU
rnacentral:rRNA from 1 species